GACGAACGCUGGCGGCGUGCUUAACACAUGCAAGUCGAACGGAAAGGCCCUUCGGGGUACUCGAGUGGCGAACGGGUGAGUAACACGUGGGUGAUCUGCCCUGCACUUUGGGAUAAGCCUGGGAAACUGGGUCUAAUACCGGAUAGGACUACGGCCUGCAUGGGUUGUGGUGGAAAGCUUUUGCGGUGUGGGAUGGGCCCGCGGCCUAUCAGCUUGUUGGUGGGGUGAUGGCCUACCAAGGCGACGACGGGUAGCCGGCCUGAGAGGGUGACCGGCCACACUGGGACUGAGAUACGGCCCAGACUCCUACGGGAGGCAGCAGUGGGGAAUAUUGCACAAUGGGCGCAAGCCUGAUGCAGCGACGCCGCGUGGGGGGAUGACGGCCUUCGGUUGGUUAAACCUCUUUCUAGCAGGGACGGAAGGGUGACUGACGGUACCGUGUAGAAGAAG
rnacentral:rRNA from 1 species